ACCAGCACUAGCCCAAACACAUAUACACACAACUAUACAAUCACAUAAAACAAAACAUUUACACCCACAAGAGUAUAGGAGAUAGAAAUUCUUAAUAGGAGCUAUAGAGCCAGUACCGUAAGGGAAAGAUGAAAGAACCAGCUUAUAGUAUAACAAAGCAAAGACUCAUCCUUGUACCUUUUGCAUAAUGAACCAACUAGAAAUAACUUUGCAAAGAGCACUAAAGUAAAGAACCCCGAAACCGGACGAGCUACUUAUGAGCAGCUAUUCAGAGCCAAUCCGUCUAUGUAGCAAAAUAGUGGAAUGACUUGUAAGUAGAGGUGAAAAGCCAACCGAGCCCGGUGAUAGCUGGUUGUCCAGAUAAGAAUCUUAGUUCGACCUUAAACUUACCAUACGCUCCCACAAUCCAAAUGUAAGUUUAAAUGUCAGUCUAAAGAGGGACAGCCCUUUAGACACAGGAAACAACCUUAAUUAGAGAGUAACUUAAAUAUUUUUCAUAGUUGGCCUAAAAGCAGCCAUCAAUUAAAAUAGCGUUUAAGCUUAACUUAAAAUAACAAACUUAAUUCAAACAUUCAUAACCAUCUCCUAAUUUUUCACUGGACUAAUCUAUUAUAUUUAUAGAUGUAACAAUGUUGAUAUGAGUAACAAGAAAAUUUUUCUCCCUGCAUAAGUUUAUAUCAACCCGAAUAAUUCACUGAUAGUUAACAAAUCUAUAAUACCACACAACUAAACUAAACCAUUAUUACUAAUAUUGUUAACCCAACACCGGCAUGCAUACAAGGGAAAGAUUAAAAGGAGUAAAAGGAACUCGGCAAACACCAACCCCGCCUGUUUACCAAAAACAUCACCUCUAGCAUAAACAGUAUUAGAGGCACUGCCUGCCCGGUGACAUACGUUUAACGGCCGCGGUAUCCUGACCGUGCAAAGGUAGCAUAAUCAUUUGUUCCUUAAAUAGGGACUUGCAUGAAUGGCCAAACGAGGGUUUAACUGUCUCUUACUCCCAAUCAGUGAAAUUGACCUUCCCGUGAAGAGGCGGAAAUAAUCUAAUAAGACGAGAAGACCCUGUGGAGCUUAAAUUUAUUAGUCCAAGCUAUUCCGAAUCCACCCCCACAGGGACAACACACCGCUCGUGGACUAAAAAUUUUGGUUGGGGUGACCUCGGAGUACAAUACAACCUCCGAAUGAUUUUAAUCGAGACAAACCCGUCCAAAUUUUAACUCAUUAAUUGACCCAAACUAUUGAUCAACGGAACAAGUUACCCCAGGGAUAACAGCGCAAUCCUACCCGAGAGUUCAUAUCGACAGUAGGGUUUACGACCUCGAUGUUGGAUCAGGACAUCCAAAUGGUGCAGCCGCUAUUAAUGGUUCGUUUGUUCAACGAUUAAAGUCCUACGUGAUCUGAGUUCAGACCGGAGCAAUCCAGGUCGGUUUCUAUCUAUUUAAGAUUUCUCCCAGUACGAAAGGACAAGAGAAAUGGGGCCAACUAUCACCACACGCCCCAGGAUUAAUAGGUGAUAUAAUCUAAAUCUAAUAUACCAUUUCUACAUCCCGCCCUAGAACAGGGCC
rnacentral:rRNA from 1 species